rnacentral:rRNA from 1 species
AGAGUUUGAUCCUGGCUCAGAGCGAACGUUAGCGGCGGGCCUAACACAUGCAAGUCGAGCGAGAAAGGGACUUCGGUCCUGAGUAAAGCGGCGGACGGGUGAGAAAUACGUAGGUAACCUGCCUUUCAGUGGGGGACAACGGUCCGAAAGGACCGCUAAUACCGCAUACGUUGUCUGGGACUCUGGUCCUGGACAGGAAAGCCGGGGCAACCUGGCGCUGGAAGAGGGGCCUACGUCGCAUCAGCUAGUUGGUGGGGUAAUGGCCCACCAAGGCUAAGACGCGUAGCUGGUCUGAGAGGAUGAUCAGCCACACUGGGACUGAGACACGGCCCAGACUCCUACGGGAGGCAGCAGUGGGGAAUAUUGGACAAUGGGCGCAAGCCUGAUCCAGCCACGCCGCGUGAGUGAUGAAGGCCUUCGGGUCGUAAAGCUCUGUGGGGAGAGACGAACCGCCGCUGGCUAAUAUCCAGCGGCAUGACGGUACCUCCUUAGCAAGCACCGGCUAACUUCGUGCCAGCAGCCGCGGUAAUACGAAGGGUGCAAACGUUGCUCGGAAUCAUUGGGCGUAAAGCGCACGUAGGCGGCUUCGCAAGUCGGAUGUGAAAUCCCGUGGCUCAACCAUGGACGUGCAUCCGAAACUGCGAGGCUUGAGUAUGGAAGAGGGUCGCGGAAUUCCCGGUGUAGAGGUGAAAUUCGUAGAUAUCG